AUUGAACGCUGGCGGCAUGCCUUACACAUGCAAGUCGAACGGUAACGGGCCUUCGGGUGCCGCCGAGUGGCGUACGGGGGAGUAAUACAUCGGAACGUGCCCGAUCGUGGGGGAUAACGAGGCGAAAGCUUUGCUAAUACCGCAUACGAUCUACGGAUGAAAGCAGGGGACCGCAAGGCCUUGCGCGGACGGAGCGGCCGAUGGCAGAUUAGGUAGUUGGUGGGAUAAAAGCUUACCAAGCCGACGAUCUGUAGCUGGUCUGAGAGGAUGAUCAGCCACACUGGGACUGAGACACGGCCCAGACUCCUACGGGAGGCAGCAGUGGGGACUUUUGGACAAUGGGCGCAAGCCUGAUCCAGCCAUGCCGCGUGCAGGAUGAAGGCCUUCGGGUUGUAGACUGCUUUUGUACGGAACGAAAAGCCUUCUUUUAAUACAGGAGGGUCAUGACGGUACCGUAAGAAUAAGCACCGGCUAACUACGUG
rnacentral:rRNA from 1 species